GACGUAGGGCGCAAGCGUUGUCCGGAUUUAUUGGGCGUAAAGAGCUCGUAGGCGGCUUGUUGCGUCGUCCGUGAAAACCCGCAGCUCAACUGCGGGCUUGCGGACGAUACGGGCAGACUAGAGUUCGGCAGGGGAGACUGGAAUUCCUGGUGUAGCGGUGAAAUGCGCAGAUAUCAGGAGGAACACCGGUGGCGAAGGCGGGUCUCUGGGCCGAUACUGACGCUGAGGAGCGAAAGCGUGGGGAGCGAACAGG
rnacentral:rRNA from 1 species